AUCGCUUCUUGGCCUUUUGGCUAAGAUCAAGUGUAGUAUCUGUUCUUAUCAGUUAAUAUCUGAUACGUCCUCUAUCCGAGGACACUAUAUUAAAUGGAUUUUUGGAGCAGGGAGAUAGAAUAGGAGCUUGCUCCAUCCACUCCAAAUAUAAAAAAAAAACCACUACACACUCUACGCUAGAUGUUGUGGAUGACAU